GUUACAGCUUCAAAAUUUCCAAGAAGAAUUCUCGCUUUUACAUCUACUGUAAGGCAUUUGAAACCUCGUCAAUCUUCGAUAUCUCGAUUAGUAAAUUCGCGCCUCCGUAUUUUCGGUCACGUGACAACGAAUUCAAACUCGACAUCAAAGGACGAAAUUCUCACUUCUACUGUCUUCACCAUCCUCGUCGUCAGGGCCAAGCCCGCUUCCGGAGGCCUCAAGGUCGUCGCGGACUUCACCACCCCCACGCCCAGAGCCUUCAAAGUCCCCCUGAUCCUCCAAGUAAAUGUCGUCCUCCAAAUACGAAUUGUAGGACGCACCUCCUGCCGUCCUGUCUUUGCUGCUCUGCUGUUCUUUCUGCAACGAGAAAUCAUCGAAAAGAUAAUUAUUAAUACAUCGAUCUCAUGUACCUACUGCAAUAUCCAUAAAGCGAAAUGUCUUGUAUCGUAAUUACAAU
rnacentral:misc_RNA from 1 species